GACGAACGCUGGCGGCGUGCUUAACACAUGCAAGUCGAACGCUGAAGCUCAGCUUUUGUUGGGUGGAUGAGUGGCGAACGGGUGAGUAACACGUGAGUAACCUGCCUCCUUCUUUGGGAUAACGCCCGGAAACGGGUGCUAAUACUGGAUAUUCACUGGCCUUCGCAUGGGGGUUGGUGGAAAGGGUUUUUCUGGUGGGGGAUGGGCUCGCGGCCUAUCAGCUUGUUGGUGGGGUGAUGGCCUACCAAGGCUUUGACGGGUAGACGGCCUGAGAGGGUGACCGGUCACAUUGGGACUGAGAUACGGCCCAGACUCCUACGGUAGGCAGCAGUGGGGAAUAUUGCACAAUGGGCGCAAGCCUGAUGCAGCGACGCCGCGGGAGGGAUGGAGGCCUUCGGGUUGUGAACCUCUUUCGCUCAUGGUCAAGCCGCAACAAUGGUUGUGGUGAGGGUAGUGGGUAAAGAAGCGCCGGCUAACUACGUG
rnacentral:rRNA from 1 species